UACGAGUACCCCAAGCGUUAUCCGGAAUUAUUGGGCGUAAAGGGUGCGUAGAUGGUGACAUUAGUCUUAUGUUAAAACCCUCAGCUUAACUGAGGAAUCGCAUGAGAAACGGUGUCACUAGAGGAUGUGAGAGGUGUGUAGAACUCAUGGAGUAGGGGUAAAAUCCGUUGAUAUCAUGGGGAAUACCAAAAGCGAAGGCAGCACACUGGCACAUUCCUGACGUUGAAGCACGAAAGCGUGGGUAGCGAAUGGG
rnacentral:rRNA from 1 species